rnacentral:rRNA from 1 species
AGGAAGUGCGGCGUGCUAUACAUGCAGUCGAACGCUUGCUUUCAUCCCGAGUGCUUGCACUCAAUUGGAAAGAGGAGUGGCGGACGGGUGAGUAACACGUGGGUAACCUACCCAUCAGAGGGGGAUAACACUUGGAAACAGGUGCUAAUACCGCAUAACAGUUUAUGCCGCAUGGCAUAAGAGUGAAAGGCGCUUUCGGGUGUCGCUGAUGGAUGGACCCGCGGUGCAUUAGCUAGUUGGUGAGGUAACGGCUCACCAAGGCCACGAUGCAUAGCCGACCUGAGAGGGUGAUCGGCCACACUGGGACUGAGACACGGCCCAGACUCCUACGGGAGGCAGCAGUAGGGAAUCUUCGGCAAUGGACGAAAGUCUGACCGAGCAACGCCGCGUGAGUGAAGAAGGUUUUCGGAUCGUAAAACUCUGUUGUUAGAGAAGAACAAGGACGUUAGUAACUGAACGUCCCCUGACGGUAUCUAACCAGAAAGCCACGGCUAACUACGUGCCAGCAGCCGCGGUAAUACGUAGGUGGCAAGCGUUGUCCGGAUUUAUUGGGCGUAAAGCGAGCGCAGGCGGUUUCUUAAGUCUGAUGUGAAAGCCCCCGGCUCAACCGGGGAGGGUCAUUGGAAACUGGGAGACUUGAGUGCAGAAGAGGAGAGUGGAAUUCCAUGUGUAGCGGUGAAAUGCGUAGAUAUAUGGGAGGAAACACCAGUGGCGAAAGGCGGCUCUCUGGUCUGUAACUGACGCUGAGGCUCGAAAGCGUGGGGAGCAAACAGGAUUAGAUACCCUGGUAGUCCACGCCGUAACGAUGAGUGCUAAGUGUUGGAGGGUUUCCGCCCUUCAGUGCUGCAGCAACGCAUUAAGCACUCCGCCUGGGGAGUACGACCGCAAGGUUGAACUCAAGGAAUUGACGGGGCCCGCACAGCGUGGAGCAUGUGGUUUAUUCGAGCACGCGAGGACUUAACAGGUCUUGACAUCUUGACACUCUAGAGAUGAGCUUCCUUCGGACACUGACAGUGGUGCAUGGUGUCGUCAGCUCAGUCUGAAUGUUGGGUUAGUCCGCACGACGCAUCGUAUGUAGUGCCAUCAUAGUGGCAUCUAUGACUGCCGUGCCAUCGAGAGUGGAUGACGUCA